GACGAACGCUGGCGGCGUGCUUAACACAUGCAAGUCGAACGGAAAGGCCCUGCUUUUGUGGGGUGCUCGAGUGGCGAACGGGUGAGUAACACGUGAGUAACCUGCCCUUGACUUUGGGAUAACUUCAGGAAACUGGGGCUAAUACCGGAUAGGAGCUCCUGCUGCAUGGUGGGGGUUGGAAAGUUUCGGCGGUUGGGGAUGGACUCGCGGCUUAUCAGCUUGUUGGUGGGGUAGUGGCUUACCAAGGCUUUGACGGGUAGCCGGCCUGAGAGGGUGACCGGCCACAUUGGGACUGAGAUACGGGCCAGACUCCUACGGGAGGCAGCAGUGGAGAAUAUUGCACAAGGGGCGGAAGCCUGAUGCAGCAACGCCGCGUGCGGGAUGACGGCCUUCGGGUUGUAAACCGCUUUCGCCUGUGACGAAGCGUGAGUGACGGUAAUGGGUAAAGAAGCACCGGCUAACUACGUG
rnacentral:rRNA from 1 species